UGCGUCUCAGUUUGCCUCAGACUUAAGUGGCUGGUGGAAGUGAGAGAUCUCUAAAGAUUCACCCAAUCCCAUUGUUCUAAGGUAAUAAAUCCUAUAAUUGCUGUAUCCUCAGAACCCAGCACGGGGCACUGCAUACGGUAGAUCUGCUUAACCAUGUACCAAAUGCAUCCGCCUCUUCCCCAACAUCCAUUACUACUGGAACCCACCAAGAACUGAAUUCCAUGGUACUUCUCAGGAUUCUUGAGGUCUGGACUAAGCCCUGGAUUGGGAAAGACGUGUUUAUGAUGCAGACCAGUUGGGGAGAUUUUUCUUGAAGGAGCAGCAGCUUGGGAAUAGCUGACCUGGUGAGAGCAUUCCUCUUCAUCUUGGCUCUGUCUGCUGUAGUUGGGGGUGAGUAGGGGUUUCAGCAGUAGAGGAAUGGGAGCCCAGAGAGACGGUGAUGAAUGAGAAGGAGACAAACAGCUCUAGCCUGUGUGCUCCUGUCUUGUUGAGGCUGAGGGCCUGCAGGGACAUUCUGAGUGAAGAACAUGCCAGGCCCACCUGUGGACUCCAGUCGCUGGUGAUGAAGGUAGCCAGAUGUGGGUGUCGGUUAAAGCACCUGUCAUUCUGGAUAAGGAUAGCAUGUUCAUAAAAGGGAAAUGAGUGGAGAAGGAGGGAAGGAGUUGUGAGCAAAGCAUUUAAAGCGUUGCCAGAAUAUAAGCAACAGUGCUUCAUGUCGUGAAAAACUGAGAAAAGGAGUCUUUAUGUACAGGAAGAACUCAGCAGCUGACCUCAAGAAGAAAGGAAAACAUCCUCUCUUCACUUUUCUCUGGGAUGCCUGUGCCCAGGGUCUUGAGUUUCCGACUGGGGCAUAAUGGAUUUUUGGUGGCCUGUGACUUUAUUAUGGGUCUUUUCCCAAAGUGUUUUGAAAUGGUAUGAAAGAGUGUAUUCAGUUAGAAACCUUGAGUUCUACUCCCAGGCUACUUAGAGGUUGUUUUGCAAACUUGAACAAGUCAAGUAAACCUGACUUCAACUCUACGCAAUGGAUUAUGCAAUGGUUGAAGUUCUAAGCUUGGAAGUUUCCAAUGAGAACAAAUAGGGGUGGUGAGAGCUGCCCUGCCCCUUUCAGGGACAUUAAGAGGGUCACCAGGCAGGUGAAUGUGACAGUGCCCUAAAGUUAUGAAGAAAUCUGUGCAAAACUGUAUGUUGUUAUAGUUCUUCUUGGGGCUGAUGCACCGUGACCCCUUCAACAGUUGAUGAAUCAUGGGAUAAUUGUUGAUGAGUCAUGGGAUAGGUGCUGCUUCAAGGGAUGUGGAUGUAGGUUGGACAGAGGCCGACCCCAACUCUCUACUCAUUUGCACUGUGCAUGGCAAAUUUGUUCUGGGAGUUUCUGCUUUGCUCCUGUCUUAAGCCAUCAGACCACGUGUUCAGUAGUCCAGCCCUGGCCACAGCCUCUCUGCCUGGCUGGGCCCAGGCUACUUCUAAACUCUCUGUUUUUUUUAUUUUAUUUUAUUUUUAUUUUUUUUUAUUUCAGAUUUUAUCCAACAUGGAUGUCUUGAUCCAAGAGAAAAAAAGGGAUCCCUUCAAAGUCCUUUCCCCAGUUUCCUGCUUAGUCCCACUCCUAGAGCCCUAGGGGGUUCUGUAGCUCCUCUAUAUUUUCAGGGAACUGAGCUGAAGCCAAUACGAGAUUUUAAAAGAUACCCUAUCCUUAAGCAAAGUGCAGAUCCUGAGACUCAGAGAGGUUAAGAAACUCGCCCAACGCCACACAGCUAGAUAAACACCUCAGGAUUUAAAUAGAUUGCAGGGGACACCAACAAGGCUCUGCUCAGAUCCCCUCAGAUCCCUCUGGCCCAUCUGUGCAUGCAGUAACAUCUGCUUCACCGUUGACUGCUUGAACCUGUGGAUCCACUUCACCUAAGAGCACAGAGAGCUGAAAGGGCCUGGAAUCCUGUUGCCUCCCGGGCAGCCUGCAGCCAAUGAGUAACUGGUGCUGGAAAACAGAAGGCUGCUCCCUUGCUGGAGUGAACAUGCAUUAUUUGUGUAAUAAACAGAAACAAAAAUCUCGUUGUUUAAAGCCAUCCAUGAAGACCAUGUGAGAGGGUGGAAAAGGGAGGCUGGAUUCUACUAAUUGGAUUGGAGGAAGAUGUAGCAAGGAAGAAGAAAUGGGCCCUUGGCAUGUGGCAGGGAGGGGACCUACUUAAUCAAACUCAAUGAUAACAGGAGUAACGGUGAUUAAACUUCUUUGAUUCAAC
rnacentral:lncRNA from 1 species